GCCCGGCUAUAGCUCAAUCGGGAGAGCACGAUGCCCUUCAUCGUAAGUCGUGGGUUCGAGCCCCACGCUGGGCG